ensembl:lncRNA
GCGAGAAGGAAGGAAGGAAGGAAGGAAGGAAAGAAGGAAAGAAGGAAAGAAGGCGAGAGGUAAGGAAGGAAGGAAGGAAGGAAGGAAGAAAAAGGAAAUAAGGAAGGAAGGAAAGAAGGCGAGAAGGAAGGAAGGAAGGAAGGAAGGAAGGAAAGAAGGAAGGAAGGAAAGAAGGUGAGAAGGAAGGAAAGAAGGAAGGAAAGAAGGAAGGAAGGAAAGAAGGCGAGAAGGAAGGAAGGAAGGAAGGAAGGAAGGAAGGACAGAAGGAAAGAAGGUGUGAAGGAAGGAAGGAAGGAAGGAAGGAAAGAAGGCGAGAAGGAAGGAAAGAAGGAAGGAAGGAAGGAAAGAAGGAAAGAAGGCGAGAAGGAAGGAAGGAAGGAAGGAAGGAAGAAGGAAAGAAGGAAAGAAGGCGAGAAGGAAGGAAGGAAGGAAAGAA